AACGAACGCUGGCGGCAUGCCUAACACAUGCAAGUCGAACGAGACCUUCGGGUCUAGUGGCGCACGGGUGCGUAACGCGUGGGAACCUGCCCUUAGGUUCGGAAUAACUCCCCGAAAGGGGUGCUAAUACCGGAUAAUGUCUUCGGACCAAAGAUUUAUCGCCUUUGGAUGUGCCCGCGUUGGAUUAGCUAGUUGGUAGGGUAAAAGCCUACCAAGGCGACGAUCCAUAGAUGGUCUGAGAGGAUGAUCAGCCACACUGGGACUGAGACACGGCCCAGACUCCUACGGGAGGCAGCAGUGGGGAAUAUUGGAAAAUGGGCGAAAGCCUGAUCCAGCAAGGCCGCGUGAGUGAUGAAGGCCUUAGGGUUGUAAAGCUCUUUUACCCGGGAUGAUAAUGACAGUACCGGGAGAAUAAGCUCCGGCUAACUCCGUG
rnacentral:rRNA from 1 species